GCCAGCGGGUUAUACCGGGGACUCAUGGGAGACUGCCGGGGUCAACUCGGAGGAAGGUGGGGAUGACGUCAAGUCAUCAUGCCCCUUAUAGUCCAGGGCUUCACGCAUGCUACAAUGGCCGGUACAAAGGGCUGCGAUCCCGUGAGGGGGAGCGAAUCCCAAAAAGCCGGUCUCAGUUCGGAUUGGGGUCUGCAACUCGAACCCCAUGAAGUCGGAGUCGCUAGUAAUCGCAGUAUCAUGCAACGUCUGCGGUGUAAUACGUUCCCGGGCCUUGUACACACCGCCCGUCACGUCACGAAAGUCGGCAACACCCGAAACCGGUGGCCUAACCCUUGUGGGGGGAGCCGUCGAAGGUGGGGUCUGGCGAUUGGUGACGAAGUCGUAACAAGUUAGCCGUACCGGAAGUG
rnacentral:rRNA from 1 species